rnacentral:rRNA from 1 species
GAUGAACGCUGGCGGCGUGCUUAACACAUGCAAGUCGAACGGAAAGGCUCCUGCUUGCAGGGGUACUCGAGUGGCGAACGGGUGAGUAACACGUGGGUGAUCUGCCCUGCACUUCGGGAUAAGCCUGGGAAACUGGGUCUAAUACCGGAUAGGACCACAUUUUGGAUGGUGUGGUGGAAAGUUUUUCGGUGUGGGAUGAGCUCGCGGCCUAUCAGCUUGUUGGUGGGGUAAUGGCCUACCAAGGCGUCGGCGGGUAGCCGGCCUGAGAGGGUGUACGGCCACAUUGGGACUGAGAUACGGCCCAGACUCCUACGGGAGGCAGCAGUGGGGAAUAUUGCACAAUGGGCGCAAGCCUGAUGCAGCGACGCCGCGUGGGGGAUGACGGCCUUCGGGUUGUAAACUCCUUUCGCUAGGGACGAAGCGCAAGUGACGGUACCUGGAGAAGAAGCACCGGCUAACUACGUG